rnacentral:rRNA from 1 species
AGAGUUUGAUCCUGGCUCAGGAUGAACGCUGGCGGCGUGCCUAACACAUGCAAGUCGAGCGAUUCUCUUCGGAGAAGAGCGGCGGACGGGUGAGUAACGCGUGGGUAACCUGCCCUGUACACACGGAUAACAUACCGAAAGGUAUGCUAAUACGGGAUAAUGUAUGAGAGUCGCAUGGCUUUUAUAUCAAAGCUCCGGCGGUACAGGAUGGACCCGCGUCUGAUUAGCUAGUUGGUGAGGUAAUGGCUCACCAAGGCGACGAUCAGUAGCCGACCUGAGAGGGUGAUCGGCCACACUGGAACUGAGACACGGUCCAGACUCCUACGGGAGGCAGCAGUGGGGAAUAUUGCACAAUGGGCGAAAGCCUGAUGCAGCAACGCCGCGUGAGCGAUGAAGGCCUUCGGGUCGUAAAGCUCUGUCCUCAAGGAAGAUAAUGACGGUACUUGAGGAGGAAGCCCCGGCUAACUACGUGCCAGCAGCCGCGGUAAUACGUAGGGGGCUAGCGUUAUCCGGAAUUACUGGGCGUAAAGGGUGCGUAGGUGGUUUUUUAAGUCAGAAGUGAAAGGCUACGGCUCAACCGUAGUAAGCUUUUGAAACUGAAGAACUUGAGUGCAGGAGAGGAGAGUAGAAUUCCUAGUGUAGCGGUGAAAUGCGUAGAUAUUAGGAGGAAUACCAGUAGCGAAGGCGGCUCUCUGGACUGUAACUGACACUGAGGCACGAAAGCGUGGGGAGCAAACAGGAUUAGAUACCCUGGUAGUCCACGCCGUAAACGAUGAGUACUAGGUGUCGGGGGUUACCCCCCUCGGUGCCGCAGCUAACGCAUUAAUUACUCCGCCUGGGAAGUACGCUCGCAAGAGUGAAACUCAAAGGAAUUGACGG